ACCCUCUUGUAGUUCAUAAGCGUGAUGAUUGGGUGUUCAUGUUGUUGUGUGAUAUGUGCCUCCCUUAAACCUUGUUACGACCUUGGCACAUUGCCUGUCUGACA
rnacentral:snoRNA from 1 species